rnacentral:lncRNA from 1 species
UAAUAGCAUGAAAAAACAUUAAUAUGUUCACAUCAAAGCAAACUUUUUUUCAAUCACCACAAUCAAUAUGUGACCUUUAACGAGUGCAUGCCGUAUAAGAAUAAUGCAGGAACAUGAGAGACUAAUUGAAACACAUACUAUACAACAACAUCAAAUUCAUUACCCUAAUCAACUGAAAAUCAAAAAUUACAAAUUCAAUAAGCAUAUGAAAGAAACGCUUAAAACUCCAAAGCUAAAAUCGCAAAAAAUAGCUCUUUUGGUGAACAAAAAGUUCCUCAGCAUGCCCUAUUAAACUGCUAUAAAAUACCCCAAACCAAGUAUGCAGCUAGAACAUCCAUCUCCGUAAUAAUGAAGAAAACACAAAGACCAAAACUUUAGAGACCAAUAACCAAUCACAUUAUGAAUAACCCUCAGCUAAAUAUUGUAGAAAAGAAGACCUAAAGAUCCAUCGAAACAAACACUCUACAACAAUACCAAAUUCAGUGAAAACUAAACUACUCUAGAACAUCCAUCUCCCUAAUAAUGAAGAAACAAAAGGAUACACAAAGAUCAAAACUUUAUAGAGUCCAAGAAGCCAAUCAGCCUAUCGUGAAGCUUCUCUCAUCAAAGGAAGGAUAAUCUCAGAACUAAUCAAUCAACUCAAAAUGUUUAUUUCUUGCUGCACGAAAGAAGCAAUCAUACAAGGCAAAGCUAUUCCGGUAAGGAGUAGAAUGAAAGGAAAUGGUACAUCAAUCAAGCUCUAGUACACGGUCCUAGAUUCAUGGAAACCAAACACAACACGUAGAUACGAUAGUAAGAAUCUCAAUCAUUACGGGACUCAAUACAAACAAAACAAACAAAAAAAACGAAUUUUUACAUCAUUCAAUCAAUCAAUCAACACCUGAAAUGAAAAUUUAAAUCAAUCCAGAUGAAGAGAGAGGCGUGUAGAUCUGCAGACCUCUUAUGAGAUUCCUGUGGUAAGAAUCGAAAGGUGAAAGAUUGGUAGAGGGGACGGAUCUGGGAGGUGAAGAGGAGGAGCCGCCGCCAUCGGAGAGGGUAUGGUCUCGGGAAAGGGCGAAGGAGGUCGCGGUGGAAGAUCUCUGCGAAAGAGAAAAGAGCCUCCUUCCUGCUACUCGCAGCAUCUCUGCUCAAUGGGGAAUCUAGGGUUUCGAGAACAGAGUAGUCCUGAGGUUAGGGACGGCCAAUGCAACAGAGCGAAGAGUCUUCCCGUAAAAUUAGUCUUCUAGGAAAGAAAAGGUCAAAGCUUUUUAAUAUUUAUUCAUCCUGAAUAAAAUAUGUUUUUUCAGUUUGAUCUUUGAUGAGAGAUUUUGUUGUUUUACAAAUAUAAUUGUUGUUUAAUUAUAUUUUCGAUACAUUUAAAAAAAAAAAAUUCUUUAGGAUAGUCAAUUAGUCAUUUUUAUGUUUCUGUCACAAAUUAAGAAAAAAAUGACCAAUUUUUUUUUAUUAAAAGGUAAAAAUAUAUUUAUAUCCUAAGACUAAUUAAUUUAGACUUAAAGUUUAGAACUAAAGGAUUGGUUUUGAGCAUAGUGUUUUAAAUUUUAAAAAGUAAAACAGAAAUAUUAAAAAUUUUAAAAUAAAAAUGAAUUAUUUUGGUCAUUUUUUUCUUUGAACGUUAUUUUUGUGACAAAAACUUUAAAUGACUAUUUGAGAGAAUUGAAUUUUUUUAACAUUGACUUGUUUUUAUUAUAAAUUAUAAAAAAAAAUUAUUACAUUUGCAUUUUAUAAGAAUUUUUAUUUACAAAGUACACCAUAAUAAAAAAAAUACCCUAAUAAAAAUUGAUGUCAUUUUUUUCAUUUAAUCUAAUUUGACUAAACUUUUUGAUGUAUAAGUAUUAAUGAAUUAUUAUUUAACUACUAGAUAAAUUAUGUUUAACCUGACAAAAAUAUAUAUAUACUGUACACACAUAUUCAUCCAUAUCAAUUUGAGAACAAUGGUGUAUUUUAAAAAUCAAACCCAAACUUUAUUAAGAAGAGGAUCUUGUCUGCAAUGACAAUAACUAAUGAAUAAAAUGUAUUUGGCUUGCCAAAUUAAAAAAAAAAAUCCAAUUAAGCUAUUCAAAAUACAAAACUGUUUUCAAACAAUAAACACAUACAUCGUUUCAUUCACCAGAUGGGACAGAUGCUAAGUCAUACAAUGACAAGUUUGUAUUAUUCAGUAAAACCAAGCACAAUCGUUUACUUGCUGAGAAGACCAAAGUGUGAGGAAAGCGUACUUGCACUUAGCCAGAAAGUAUAUAUAAAAGAAAAACAAAAAAACAAAUGAGGAUCUUUGAGACACAAACACUGUCUGACGUGCGUUUAUUCAUCAACCAAUGAGUAACUUGUUCUCUUCCAAGAAGCUGUAAGUUGGUACUUCCAAGUUGUAAGGUGCAGGACCUUUCCUGAUCCUUCCAGAGAUGUCGUAAUGCGAACCGUGACACGGGCAAAACCAGCCACCAUAGUCACCAGCAGUGGCAGGUUCAGAACCAAAACCAACCUCGUUUCCUUGAGUAAGGACUUGAGAAGAAAAACCUGAUAAUAGCAUGAAAAAACAUUAAUAUGUUCACAUCAAAGCAAACUUUUUUUCAAUCACCACAAUCAAUAUGUGACCUUUAACGAGUGCAUGCCGUAUAAGAAUAAUGCAGGAACAUGAGAGACUAAUUGAAACACAUACUAUACAACAACAUCAAAUUCAUUACCCUAAUCAACUGAAAAUCAAAAAUUACAAAUUCAAUAAGCAUAUGAAAGAAACGCUUAAAACUCCAAAGCUAAAAUCGCAAAAAAUAGCUCUUUUGGUGAACAAAAAGUUCCUCAGCAUGCCCUAUUAAACUGCUAUAAAAUACCCCAAACCAAGUAUGCAGCUAGAACAUCCAUCUCCGUAAUAAUGAAGAAAACACAAAGACCAAAACUUUAGAGACCAAUAACCAAUCACAUUAUGAAUAACCCUCAGCUAAAUAUUGUAGAAAAGAAGACCUAAAGAUCCAUCGAAACAAACACUCUACAACAAUACCAAAUUCAGUGAAAACUAAACUACUCUAGAACAUCCAUCUCCCUAAUAAUGAAGAAACAAAAGGAUACACAAAGAUCAAAACUUUAUAGAGUCCAAGAAGCCAAUCAGCCUAUCGUGAAGCUUCUCUCAUCAAAGGAAGGAUAAUCUCAGAACUAAUCAAUCAACUCAAAAUGUUUAUUUCUUGCUGCACGAAAGAAGCAAUCAUACAAGGCAAAGCUAUUCCGGUAAGGAGUAGAAUGAAAGGAAAUGGUACAUCAAUCAAGCUCUAGUACACGGUCCUAGAUUCAUGGAAACCAAACACAACACGUAGAUACGAUAGUAAGAAUCUCAAUCAUUACGGGACUCAAUACAAACAAAACAAACAAAAAAAACGAAUUUUUACAUCAUUCAAUCAAUCAAUCAACACCUGAAAUGAAAAUUUAAAUCAAUCCAGAUGAAGAGAGAGGCGUGUAGAUCUGCAGACCUCUUAUGAGAUUCCUGUGGUAAGAAUCGAAAGGUGAAAGAUUGGUAGAGGGGACGGAUCUGGGAGGUGAAGAGGAGGAGCCGCCGCCAUCGGAGAGGGUAUGGUCUCGGGAAAGGGCGAAGGAGGUCGCGGUGGAAGAUCUCUGCGAAAGAGAAAAGAGCCUCCUUCCUGCUACUCGCAGCAUCUCUGCUCAAUGGGGAAUCUAGGGUUUCGAGAACAGAGUAGUCCUGAGGUUAGGGACGGCCAAUGCAACAGAGCGAAGAGUCUUCCCGUAAAAUUAGUCUUCUAGGAAAGAAAAGGUCAAAGCUUUUUAAUAUUUAUUCAUCCUGAAUAAAAUAUGUUUUUUCAGUUUGAUCUUUGAUGAGAGAUUUUGUUGUU